CAGUCCCGCAGCUACAGCAGAUCAGCCUGACCAGCCUACGAAACGUGCCUCUCCAGACGCACGGUGGUGGCCAGGCCAGCGCAUUACACAGGCGGCUAUGUGGAGGUCAGUCUCUCAUCAGUGCAACGCACCGAGCAGUUUCCCCCCCCUAAACCCCAUCUCUGCUGCCUUUGUCCUCUUCUGUCCUGCAGAAUCAAGGGAUUUCGCAUUGCACUCGGUCGGCGCAUUCCCGCAAGUCACUUCUCGCUGUGUGAUUCCAUUCUUUGGGUGGCAGGUGUCCCGGUGCGUCGACGUCCUAACACCAGACAAGUGAUGCUCUGAGCUGUACUAUUGCUCUCCUGUCGCCUCACAUCUCUGCAGCAAACCGGGCUGGAAAUGGUCCCAUGCUCAACUAACCGGCGGCGUUCAGAGGUUAGACUCUCAGUCAACAGAGGGUCACAGCUACAAACACAUCACCCACCCUCUUCCUCCUGCCUGGCGAAAGUCGUACGUCUGCUGCCUGCAUUCAUCUAAACAGCAGUGAAGACAGACAGGAAACUUACACUGUAGUAGUACAGUACUGCCUGGAGUGUGUGUGUGUGUGUGUGUGUGUGUGUGUGUGUGUGUGUGUGUGCUUAAGUGGCUUUACUGUUCCCCAAGCCCUCCACUCUGUGUGUGCAAUGAUGUGUGGUUGUGUCAAGGUGGAGAGUUAAGAGGAAAACAGGACCCGUUCAAGUCAGCAAAACCAAGCCAGCUGCUGCGUAUGUGUGUGUGUCAGGGUUGAGCAGUCCAGCACGUGAGACAGUGUGUGUGUGUGUGUGUGUGUGUGUGUUUGUGUGAGGGGCUAGGGUUGACCAGGCUAUGAGUGCGUCUCAGAGGGAGAGGCCGUUCGAUGCUGAGUCGAGCUAAGGGAGCAGAACAGGAGAAUCUGAAAGAGGAGCAGCCAUGGGGCUCGGACAGUCCAGCAAGGCUCCAGUCACCGAGGACACAGACGAGGUGAAUUUCGACCACUUCCAGAUCCUGAGGGCAAUAGGAAAAGGAAGCUUCGGAAAAGUCUGCAUUGUACAGAAGAAGGACACUAAGAAGAUGUACGCCAUGAAGUACAUGAACAAGCUGAAAUGCGUGGAGCGGAACGAAGUGAGGAAUGUCCUGAAAGAGCUGCAGAUAAUGCAGAACCUUGAACAUCCUUUCCUGGUCAACUUCUGGUAUUCCUUCCAGGAUGAGGAGGACAUGUUUAUGGUGGUGGACUUGCUCUUGGGAGGAGACCUGCGCUAUCACCUCCAGCAGAACGUCCACUUCUCAGAGAGCACGGUCAAACUCUACAUCUGUGAACUGUCCCUGGCCCUGGGAUACCUACGUACCAAGCGCAUCAUACACAGAGACAUCAAACCUGACAACAUACUACUGGAUGAAAAUGGGCAUGUCCAUCUAACAGACUUCAACAUCGCAGCCAUUGUAAAAGAAGACCUAAAAGCAACGUCCAUUGCUGGGACCAAGCCGUACAUGGCUCCUGAGCUGUUCCAAACCUUCGAGGGGUUCCACCCUGGCUACUCCUUCUCAGUCGACUGGUGGUCACUGGGCAUCACAGCCUAUGAGCUACUAAGAGGACAGAGACCAUAUGUAAUGAGAUCCAGUACACCAGCUAAUGAGAUCCUUCAGACCUUCCACAAGGUCUAUCCCAGCUACCCAGCAGCCUGGUCUCUGGAGAUGAAGUCUCUACUCAGAAAGUUGUUGUGCAUAGAUGUCAAGCAGCGCAUUUCCUGUCUAGCAGAGCUACAGGAGCUGGACUACAUGUCAGAUGUCAACGUGGACGCUGUGCUCAGCAAACAGAUUCCUCCAGGCUUUAUUCCUAAUAGGCGGAGACUAAACUGUGAUCCUACGUUUGAGCUGGAGGAAAUGAUCCUGGAGUCCAAACCGCUUCACAAGAAGAAGAAAAGGCUUGCUAGAAAAACCAAGGACCAGGGAUCUGAUGGCUCCCCACAGAACGGUCAGUUGCAGCAGAGAUUGGAUAAUGUCCAGAGAGACUUCAUUGUCUUCAACAGAGAAAAGUCAAAGAAAGAAGUGGUGGAGUCCUCUGAGCUGUCCAUGAGUGAGAAGAACAAGGCAAUAGAGGAUGGACAGAACAACAAUGUUGAACAGGCGGCUUACUUAUCAGGAUAGGUCUCAUGAUCGCAGAUCCUUACCUAGUCCCUUAUCACUUGCCCCUGCCCACAGCUUGUAGAUCAGCAAUUUACACCCAGACACCUAUUGUUCUAUCUGCACCUUCCUAUCCUGCACCACUACAUCGCCUAUACAAACACAAAAGCAGUAUGCCCUUGUGCUUCACUGAGUGAACUCGACUCUGAGAGCAGCAGCCAUGCCAGACUGAGGCUUUUGCUUUCUUGUCACAAGAAGAAGGACUCUCAGCAGAGUGUCAUUCAUAUCAUGCUCCCUUACAUCACUCUGGUGCUCUAAGGUCUGCUCAACCUCUACUCUGGGCAGCGUGCUGAAGUGAAAAGGAAGUCUGCCAAAAAGGAGACAAUGCCACACCUGCUCAGCUGUAAUAGGAAAUAAAGUGACGUGGUCAGCUAUGGCUCAAAGCUUUAUGUACUGCUGCUGUUUUGGGCAGGACACUCAGAUUUUUAAUCUCAGCGAUGCAUUUUCUGGUUGAUUAGUUAUUUAAAUAUAACAAUGGUUCACCAGUGCUACAUGGGAAUGGACUUAACAAGAAUUGGCAUAAUGAGUUGGGUUAGCAACACAUAUUGAAAAACAAACACUUGGGUGGACAGCUUGAGAUUCGAGCAUGACACUAAGAGUACAACACAUUAAAACAGAGGUUAGUAAGGCAAAAUGAGACCUUUGUUUUUAAGACAGCAACCACAGAUUCCUCUAAGAUAGAAAAUGAAGAGCUGAACUGUAGGCUUGAGCGUGAAUGGGUCACUUUAUCAUAGCAGCAAAAACAUUGUUGUAGUGGUCAUUAUGCUUAGCUUUGAUAGUCAAGCUAACAAAGAUGGUAGGAUUGCAACAUUUGGUACAAUGCCCCAGCUCCAUCAGCUGCAGAUAUAGGCAAAACGUGUUUUCUUCACUUGCGUAUGCUUUAAGUUACUAUUGAAAAAAACAAUUUGAAAAUUUAAAAUGCACUUAAACAAUUGUUUUAAGGUUAACCUUUAAUGUCCAUUCAUGACCGUGGAAGCUUAUAUGAAGUUGCUUAGUUAAGGCCAACGGGAGCGGUUGAACGCUCCGGGCACAACAAGUAAGUGGACCUUCUGAUGAUUUUUUGUCAAACUAGUUUUCCUUUAAAACACUGACACUGGCUAACCUUUCCCUCAAUCUGCAAAUGACCUACAGGGUCUUCAAAAAAAGGUUUAUAGCUAUGAAAACUUAGAAAAGGGUAGAUGUUAUAGGUUUUGCACUGAACCUUGCUUUGCACAUGCUUCUUCAUCAACUGUAGCAUUUAUACACAGAGACAUAAAAAAUCUAAAGCUGUGAGUGACUACUUAUUCCCUUAGGGGUGGUUUAAUAGACAAGGAUUAAUAGGCUGAGUCCUAUAUAAGAUUUAUUUUUCAGUUACUGUCUGCAUUGGAACUUAUUUUUGUCAAAUAUUUUAUGUCCUUCCUCUAUUGUGUUGAAUACAACCAAUUACGUGUGCCACCAGAUAAGUCUGUAAAUUUGUAUUCGCAAUGAAUUGCUCCCAUAGAAGAAUACGUUCUGCAACAACAUUCUUAUACAGAUGGUAUUCAACAGUAAUUUAGCACCAGCUGGAUAACACAUUGGGAAAAACAAAACAAAACAAACAAUGACGGAAACAAAUAAACAACCACAGGCCAUGCAAUACUCCUUGUUCAUUCGAUUUAAGAUUUACUGUAAGAAACCACACCUGCCUCUGAAGAUGCAGAGGGAUGCCUUACACCAGGGGUCAGCAACCUUAGACAUGCGUGCCACCAUUAGCAUGCGGUAGCUCAACCAAUGGCACACUUAUUGCAAGUGUGCCAUUGGUUGAGCUACCGCAAGAGUGUGUUUUGGAAAUGUUCCAAUCCACAUCCUAAAUGACCAUCACAGCCAUUGGCAUGCAGGAGCACAUCCUGGUAUUUACAGUAGUUUAUUUGACUUUUUCCCCAUCCGCAUUCCGCGAAGACCCGGCCCUCUGAUUGGCUAGUACUCAUUGCCUUCUUCACAGAAUGCGGCACAAAGGGGAAAAAAAACUGCCUGAGCGAGCUCGGUUAAUGACGGCAGGCUUAAUGCUGAUAUGGCACUAAGAAGAACAUUUUAAAAUGACACCUCAUAAUAAAAAGGUUGCCGAGCCCUGCCUUACACCAGAAUUAUGGCACACAGCUGGUCCAUUUAAACUAUAAAUGUAGGUAGUACAAACCUAAGCUUUUUUUCAAAAUCAUUAAGUAAAUGUGUAGUCAUUCUAUUGACCUUGAUCUUAUCUAUCUGCAAUACAAUUACUGUUGGCACUUUUCUAUUGAAAAUUGGUACAAUAUUUUGACUCAACUUUGUGUUGUUGUUGUUGUUGUUGUUAUUGUUGUUAUGAUGUAAUUUUACAGAUCCAAAAGUGGUUUCCUGUAUAAGUUGUAAGAUAUAGUGGGAUAGUUAAACAGAUGGAGUGAUCCUGGGUAUAACCGGGGUGAAUUAUAUUUGUGUAUGAUUAUCUUACUUUGUUCAUACAAUAGGAGUACCAGAUGGGUUGGGUUAAUUGCGAUAAUUAUCUGUUAUGGCAGAUUCAACCAUUCCAAAAAGUUAACAUACAAAAUAAUAAUUGACAAAUAAUAUUUGACCCAGGUAAUACCACUUUUCAACAAAACGUAUCUGCCUAAAAGAAAUGAUUUAGUCUGGAAAAAGAUUUGUUCCACAGCUGUUAAUUUCAUUCAUAUUAAGGUUUUGUUGUCCUUCAGUAGUCACUGUGUGUAUAUUGUAUUUAAAUGUGAUGGAGUUGCAAACUAUUAAGGUGUGCCUUAAAUGACUUUCUUUUUCUGAACAAA